rnacentral:lncRNA from 1 species
GAGCGGACAAUUUUUAUUUCAGGAAGAUUAGCCAAGGGAUUGUAUGCACAAAAUGCUUGCACAGAUGCGUAAUGCCAUCGUUUGAAUGAAAUUAGCCAAGGUACAAGAUUGCAUGCUGUAGUAUUAUGGGACCAAUAGGGCCCUUCGAAAAGGUUCCAUUCAUUUCUCCACAAUAACAUUAUCUUAAAGAAAGUUCGUACUUUCGGCAAAAAAGGACCACCAUCACUAUGAUGCCUCGAGUCGUAGUGAUCCAAGUGCCAAAUGUACCUAUAUGUAUGGAUAGUAUAAACUGUCCAAAUAAAAAUAAUUGAAUAGAGAACAAUGGGUUUAGACAAAAGCACUUCCAUCACCCUCAUUUAUAAUUUCAGUUGAAUUUCUACAAGUUAGUUGCAAAUGUUGUAGGUGGAAAAUAUAAGCUAUUUGAAGAAGGAAAAGACUACUUGUCCAGGGCCCAUGUGGUUCCGGACGUAUAGCAUCCCUUGAUUCCCUUAUUUGAAAAGGAGAUUUGUAAUUAAGUAUACCAAAUGGAAGAGUCAAGCCUGCUUCAUUUGAAGCAGAAAAAUAAUUGAUUGACUUUUGUGUUGGAUAGCGUUUGAUGGUCGCA